rnacentral:rRNA from 1 species
CCUACGGGAGGCAGCAGUGGGGAAUAUUGGACAAAGGGGGGAACCCUGAUCCAGCCAUGCCGCGUGUGUGAAGAAGGCCCUCGGGUUGUAAAGCACUUUCAGUGAGGAAGAACGCCUGGUGGUUAAUACCCAUCAGGAAAGACAUCACUCACAGAAGAAGCACCGACUAACUCCGUGCCAGCAGCCGCGGUAAUACGGAGGGUGCGAGCGUUAAUCGGAAUUACUGGGCGUAAAGCGCGCGUAGGUGGCUUGAUAAGCCGGUUGUGAAAGCCCCGGGCUCAACCUGGGAACGGCAUCCGGAACUGGCAAGCUAGAGUGCAGGAGAGGAAGGUAGAAUUCCCGGUGUAGCGGUGAAAUGCGUAGAGAUCGGGAGGAAUACCAGUGGCGAAGGCGGCCUUCUGGACUGACACUGACACUGAGGUGCGAAAGCGUGGGUAGCAAACAGGAUUAGAUACCCCAGUAGUC